GACCAUGUGGCCUACGUUACUCUUGCUCCUUCAAGGUGUGGCCGGAAGUUGGGAAGAAUGGUGGACUUAUGAUGGCAUAUCAGGUCCUGAUUUCUGGGGCUUAUUAAAUCCGGAAUGGAGUUUCUGCACAAAAGGCCGCAGACAAUCACCGAUUGAUCUUAAUCCAUCAGUUCUUUUGUACGAUCCUCAUCUGAAGAAUCUCCACGUCGACAAAUUCAGGGUCAGCGGGACAAUAAUGAAUACUGGACACAGCAUCAUAUUCCGGACGGAAUCGGUCGAUACUGAGAAUAUUGUCAAUAUCACUGAGGGCCCUCUUUCAUACAGAUAUCGCUUUGAAGAAAUUCAUCUGCAUUAUGGCCGAACAGAUGACAGAGGAUCGGAACAUACUCUUUCUGGGUAUUCAUUUCCUGCUGAGCUCCAGAUACUUGGAUAUAAUUCGGAUUUGUAUAACAAUAUCUCGGAAGCCCUUUCUGUAAGACGAAGUGAAGGCGUAGUCGGUAUUGCUGUGCUUCUGCAAAUGGGAGAUUUGUCGAAUGCUGAGUUACGGAUUCUGACAAGUCAACUGCAUAGAAUAGUUUACAGAGGUCAAGAAGCUCAUUUGCAACACCUCUCAGUGCGGGAUCUCUUACCGGAUACUCAUUUCUUCAUGACCUACGAAGGCUCUUUAACCAUGCCUGGCUGUCAAGAAACGGUCACGUGGAUCGUGAUGAAUCGCCCGAUUUACAUUACCAAGCAACAGCUCUACAUUCUGCGGAAGUUAAUGCAAGGGGCUGAAAAUAACCCAAAAGCACCUCUUGGGAAUAAUUUCCGGCCCCCUCUACCACUGAACCAAAGGGUCGUCAGAACAAAUAUCGACUUCCGACGGAGCGAGGGCAAGAAAUGUCCGACGAUGCACGCUGACAUGCACUACAAAGCCAGGAAAUGGACCCGGAAUCCGUGACGAAGGAUACUAAAACAUUAGAGUCACCAUCGGAAAAAUGUUCCUGAAGAACUGUGUUCCUCAAUCCCCCUACCUGCUCAAUCUCUGUGGUUUAGCCUCUCUAUUUUAUAAAAAAAGGUACGCCAGACAUUCACAUUUGCAUAUCUUUCAAAGACAUUGCAAACCAGACCCGUCUAACCAUGAGUUGCAGCUGAUUCUGGGGUCUUCGAAAGACAUCUUAAGUGAUUGGCUUUGGAUACCUUGAAAGAGCUGUUCUUGUGUCUUCUAGACUAGAUGUGACCUUUAACUAGCAAAGGGAUGGCCCUAGUACAGCAUUAACUCAGGAAUUUCGAAAAAUAGUGUCAAGAACUUAUUCAUCUGGAGUGCGGCUAUAUCAUUGAAACACUUUUUAUUAACGUUCAAGUUGUAUAUACCGGAGAAUGGCACUUUUCUACAAUGUAAAUAAAUGUGUUUUUGUGGAGCGGGGUCUUUUGGAAUUUUUCUUUGAUUAUCCUUCUGUAUCUUGUCACCUUCCUCUCUCCUUUGGUUUAAAAAAAAAGAAAAGAAAAGCAUGUGCAAAUUUAGCUUUUGUAAUAAAACGCUAAAUGGUAUUGUUAUAGUUAUUUCUUAUGGUUGCUCUUUUGAGUCAAUUUUUACUUUUAAAUAUUAAAGAAAAGAAAUUCAGGCAAUCAACUUUUUCUCUAAUAUUCAUUUACAGUUAUAUCAUCAAAAAAUUUAAAUUAUAAGUCAAUAUUUUUGACUAGUAAAUAAUGGCAUUAUUAAAUAAUGGGAAGUCGCCCCUCUCGAGCAUGAGAAUGAAAGUUUAGUUUAAUUUCGUUAUAUUGAUGUCCUAUUUUGAAGCAACUCUAAGGCUAGUAUGGAACCGACCCCAUAAUUUUGACCCUCAAUCAGAUGACUAGAACUACACCUGAGCCAGCACCCUUUCUCCCAACUUCCGCAUCACACCAGCGAAAAGGCAAAUGGCCCUAUGGAUUUAACGUACAUCAGACUUGCUUACACAGCAGAUCUUUGAUAAAAACAGGUUUAUAAACUGUAGCCUUCCGAUCCCAAAUCCGAGACCUUACCACCAUGCCACCGCCGUAGACGUGAGACAUGGAUAUGAGAAAUCGCAGCAUUAGUAAGUGCGCUCUUGCUUUCCCAUAGAUAUAAUGAUGAUGGUGUUGACUGUUUAACUGUCCCAUCACCGAUGACGGAACUUACCGCCUUAUGAGGCGUCUGUGAAUGGAUUACUUAUAAUGAAAGCUGUUUUGCUCAGAUCAUAGUACACGUAUUUGCGGUCAUUCAAGUAGGACUGAAUUGUUUGAAGCUAAGAAGGAGUAUUUCAUUAUGAUUCAAUGAUACAAUUUUCAGUACUUAAAUGUGUUAAAUAGUUUAUACAUAUUAUACAUAUGUGAUAGCUUUACGCAUAAAAAAGUUCACAGUAAAAGUUAGUGCAAUGCUUCUUAUAGUUUACAUUUUUAUUAUGAGAGGUUGAAGCGUCAAUCUUCCAUUUAAGAAUUGAGUUAUUGUCGGGGUAUUGGAGUAAUUCUUUCAUCUUUCAUCGGUCGUUAGAAACAAGAAUCGUUUUCCGUUUCAGUUGCCUGUUCUCAUUAGAUAAACAUUCCGCCAUCAUACAUGAGGUGAUGUAAUAAAAAAUAGGGGAUUAAAACUAUCUGCACUGUGAUUAGUGGAAAGGCAGCAGUUUCGGUUGGAAAAUUUUAAUGGUUUAUUAACGUAAAUUCUGUCCUUAGCCGGCUCGCUGCUACAACUCAUGCCGAAUAUUCGCAUUAUUUAUAUCCUAUUGUAGAUGAUCCUUUAACAUCUAAUUAGAUGAAUGGUUCGGUCCAAUUAGAUAGUAGGUGUGAACCAAAACUGAGUUACUCCGAAGUCAACGUGUUAACUGAGUAAAGAAGAAAAACUUCUAUUGAUACAGAA